UACGUAGGGUGCAAGCGUUUGUCCGGAAUUAUUGGGCGUAAAGAGCUCGUAGGCGGUUCGUCACGUCGGCUGUGAAAUCCCGAGGCUCAACCUCGGGUCUGCAGUCGAUACGGGCGGACUGGAGUACUGCAGGGGAGACUGGAAUUCCUGGUGUAGCGGUGAAAAUGCGCAGAUAUCAGGAGGAACACCGGUGGCGAAGGCGGGGUCUCUGGGCAGUAACUGACGCUGAGGAGCGAAAGCGUGGGGGAGCGAACAGG
rnacentral:rRNA from 1 species